CGAUUUCGCGUAAUUGUCCGCGGCUCGUCAACGAGCGAGCUGCGCCCCUCCGCGAUCCAGUCAGUGUACCCGUGGCGGUCCUGGAUGCUGGCCGGAGGUUGCCCGUAUACACGUAAUAUUAUUAAUUGCUGUGUGUAUCUUUCGAUACCUGCCAGCGUGUACCGAGUUAUUUUGUACCGAUACCCGAUGUCGGCAUUUUGUAUUCUUGAUGUUUUCGCGUAAUUGUCCGCGGCUCGUCAACGAGCGAGCUGCGCCC